rnacentral:rRNA from 1 species
AGCUUGCUUCCGUAUUCUAGUGGCGGACGGGUGAGUAACACGUGGAUAACCUGCCCUUUGCAAAGGAAUAACAACCAGAAAUGGUUGCUAAAACCUUAUAAGCUCACGAGAUGGCAUCAUAUAGUGAGAAAAUAUUUAUAGGCAAAGGAGGGGUCCGCGUCUGAUUAGCUAGUUGGCGGGGUAAGGGCCCACCAAGGCGACGAUCAGUAGCCGGCCUGAGAGGGUGAACGGCCACAUUGGGACUGAGACACGGCCCAAACUCCUACGGGAGGCAGCAGUGGGGAAUAUUGCGCAAUGGGGGAAACCCUGACGCAGCAACGCCGCGUGAAGGAAGAAGGCUUUCGGGUUGUAAACUUCUAUCGACGGGGAAGAAAAAAAUGACGGUACCCGAGUAAGAAGCACCGGCUAAAUACGUGCCAGCAGCCGCGGUAAUACGUAUGGUGCAAGCGUUAUCCGGAAUUACUGGGCGUAAAGGGUGAGUAGGCGGUCAAUUAAGUCAUAUGUGAAAAUCCAGGGCUCAACCCUGGACUUGCAUAAGAAACUGGUAGACUGGAGUGCAGGAGAGGUAAGCGGAAUUCCUAGUGUAGCGGUGAAAUGCGUAGAUAUUAGGAAGAACACCAGUGGCGAAG